rnacentral:lncRNA from 1 species
GAAGAGGUAGCUAUGUAUGUAUGUUAUGUGGGAAGAGGAAAAGACCAAAGUGAUAACUAUCUGCCAAGUUUGUAAACAAUCAUGCCCUUGUUUCUAUUUCUUUUUGCUUCUUCUUCUGCCCCCCUUCUGCUUCUUCCUAACCUUUUCUUAAUUCCCAAUUCCCAGUUCACACCCUCCUGACUCUUUCGCUGUACUCUACUGCACCGUAGCAGCAGAAGCAGCAGCGGCUGACAUGGAGACAGUAGUAGUAGUCCUUUUUAUUUUUUAUGCAUCUGUGAGUAUUACUAGUCUCGUGAUUCUUCUUUUGUUUUUUUCCCUUCCUAACAUAUAUUUAU